GCCGGGCGCGGUGGUGCACACCUGUAAUCCCAGUGGCUCAGGAGGCUGAGUCAGGAGGCUUGCCAAGUUCAAAGUCAGCCUCAAAAAUGGCAAGGUGCUAAGCAACUCAACAAGACCCUCUCUCUA
rnacentral:sRNA from 1 species